UAGCCGCAUGACUUAAGAGAGGGGUCAGGGUGAGAAAGUCGUAUAAAAGAAGAGAAAAGGCGUUUGAAAUCAGUUGAGUGAAAAUCUCCGACACGGCAACAACUGCUGUGGACUAUUUGUCACCAACUGCAUUCUUCAUCGUAAUACCGGUUCGCAACCAAAUGUUAACUAUAGCGUCGUGCUGCUGUUAGUUGCUGUAUCCUUGAUGGUUGGGUCGACUACUGGGGUACCGAUGUCUCGUGGGUAUGGUGGAUACCAAACAGCAACGCCGGCGUCUUACCACACAACAUAAUACGCAGCAACCGGAGUACUACACCACAACUUAUGAUGUCCCGAACUAUUACACCGAAGCCUCAAAGUAUAAUUCUGCCUCGAGUUACACCACCGCGAGUACUACACCACCAAGGCAGCGGAGUACUACACCACCAAGGCAGCGGAGUACUACACCACCAACUACGAUUCCGCAAUUUUCUACAAGGAAAUGUCUAAAUACUAGAGCCGAAACCUCUAUGUGAGGUUAUUUAUAUUUGUCGGUUAAUUUAUGGUCAUUGGUCACUGGGAAUUAAUAUUUGAUCUUAAAAGAGAAAAUAAUGGUUUUAAUACGGGUAAUUCUUUUGUAAUACUUUUGUUAGUAACUUUUUGUCAACUUUGCGUCAGUUGUCUAUCAGAGUUGGAUUUCAUUAAGACCGGUAUGCUGAAUUGUGAAUUGUUUGUUUUAUGUUUUAGAGGUGACUACUGCCUUAUUCAUACGGACAUGUUCUUGUGGU